rnacentral:rRNA from 1 species
GACGAACGCUGGCGGCGCGCCUAACACAUGCAAGUCGAACGGAGUUGUGUUGAAAGCUUGCUGGAUAUACAACUUAGUGGCGGACGGGUGAGUAACACGUGAGUAACCUGCCUCUCAGAGUGGAAUAACGUUUGGAAACGAACGCUAAUACCGCAUAUGCCUAAGUACCACAUGGUACAAUAGGGAAAGGAGCAAUCCGCUGAUAGAUGGGCUUGCGUCUGAUUAGAUAGUUGGUGGGGUAACGGCCUACCAAGUCGACGAUCAGUAGCCGGACUGAGAGGUUGAACGGCCACAUUGGGACUGAGAUACGGCCCAG